rnacentral:rRNA from 1 species
AGAGUGCGUAAUAGCUCACUAGUCGAGUGACACUGCGCCGAAAAUGUACCGGGGCUAAACAUAUUACCGAAGCUGUGGAUUGUCCUUUGGACAAUGGUAGGAGAGCGUUCUAAGGGCGUUGAAGCAUGAUCGUAAGGACAUGUGGAGCGCUUAGAAGUGAGAAUGCCGGUGUGAGUAGCGAAAGACGGGUGAGAAUCCCGUCCACCGAUUGACUAAGGUUUCCAGAGGAAGGCUCGUCCGCUCUGGGUUAGUCGGGUCCUAAGCUGAGGCCGACAGGCGUAGGCGAUGG